rnacentral:lncRNA from 1 species
GGCCACUCGCUGCCUCACCUCGGCCAUCCAAUCAUCGCCAGAGCCUUCCAUACUUGUCUGCUCCAAGUCGCUGGAUACCUCUGCUCCCAGGGUCGCUGCACGUGUGCUAGCGUUGCCCUCAAUUUGUAAAUCCAAACGAACUGUGUCUCUGAGCUGCUUUACCUCGCACUAGGAUGCCAUCCCACCGCUGCCACCAAUGUAACGGAUCGCCUGGCACCCCGACUGGGUACCUCCGUUAAAG